rnacentral:lncRNA from 1 species
GUAGUCAUUUUAUAACUUCUGCUGUAGACAAUCAACCUAAAUAAUAAUAAAAAAAAAAAAAAAAAAAAAAAUACAAAACAAAACAAACAAACAAGGGCUAUGUGAGUAAAGCAAGAAAGACCAUAAUUGGUUCAAAAAAACUCAGAUAUGCACAUAUUCAAGUAAUAGAUACAUAGAAAUGUGCACCUCUUUCAAAUGUAAGGAUUCAAAUGUGCGGCAUUACUCCCGAUAUGCGGAUUCAAAGAAGGAUCUCGAAUAUGUUUUUGUUCUAAAAAGUGUGCGGAUUUGUUGUGGUAUUCAGGAAAUGAAAAAUAAGAGGGUUCUCAUUUACGUCGAGCGUACGAUGCAGAGUAACACUCAUAGUGCUUGAGUCUGCCCCUUGCCACUGUGCCACAUGGAAGUUGGUAUUGCCAUUGUUGUGCCGCUGUCAAGAAUAUUGCUUGAGACUCUCCUCUACCAAAACUUCAUCGGUUGGUCAAGAAUAAAUUAAAUUGAAGAGAGACUUUAUAAAAUUUGUCGCAAUAGUACCAUAUGUCUGAUCCAAAAAAGGAAACAUAGAGUGAGAUUUCGUAAACUUCAUUCAUAAGAAAAACGUUCAUGUAAUUCAAGGAAAUUGGUAAAUUUAUAAAGCUUAGUUCUUCGAUCUCCCCUUAUCUUUCAUUAUUAGUGAUUUAAUUUUUUCAUAAAUUAACUCCGAAAAAUGCAUUAAAUCAAAGGGAAAGAACCCUCUAGGGUUGCAUAAGUUUUCAUUAGUAAAGAAAGUAACAAAUCCACAUUCGAUAAAAACAAAUCCUAAACUACAAAGAUCUUACAAUUUAAAUACACACAAAAAACCACCUUAAACAACAUUUCCAACAUGCAGAUCAUAGAAAAUCUUAAAUAUAUCAGCCACAUCAUAUAUAUCAAAUCUGAUAUCAAAUCCGAAAUCGAAAAAAAUGAACAAAUUCAAUUUGAUUUCGCAUCAAGUUGGCAAAAAAAAAAAAAAAAAAAAAAAAGCUACCUGUAGGCCAUUAUCAUCCAUUUCAUUGGGAU